GUAGGGUGCAAACGUUGUUCGGAAUCACUGGGGCAUAAAGAGCGCGUAGGCGGCUCAAUAAGUCAAGCGUGAAAGCCCUCGGCUCAACUGAGGGAAUUGCACUUGAUACUGCUGAGCUUGAGUGCAGGAGGGGAGAGCGGAAUUCCUGGUGGAGCGGUGAAAUGCGUAGAUAUCAGGAGGAACGCCAGUGGCGAAAGCGGCUCUCUGGUCUGCAACUGACGCUGAGGCGCGAAAGCUAGGGGAGCAAACGGGAUUAGAUAACCCCGGUAGUCCUAGCCCUAAACGAUGGGUACUAAGUAGAGGGGACUCCGAUGUUCUCUCUGCCGGAGCAAAUGUAUUAAGUACCCCGCCUGGGGAGUAUGGUCGCAAAGGCUAA
rnacentral:rRNA from 1 species